rnacentral:tRNA from 1 species
GCCUUCGUGGUGUAGUGGUCUGCAUGCUCGACGCUUGGCCGAGAGGUCCGUGGUUCGAUUCCCGGCGAAGGCG